CUGGCCUACUUGUUUGGGAAGUCUGCUCAAGGCCGGAGUCCAAUCUGAAUUGUGUGUGAAAGGCGGAAUAAAUGUGAGGCCUUUCAUGAGCAGGGAUGACUGUGAGGGAGAGAGAGUAAAGUGUUUGGAAAGAUUCACAACAAGCCUAUGUGCACCCUUUCUCGGGUGUUCACUCACUACAAGUUUAAAUAUCGUGCCCAGUGUUCCAACAUGUUCCUGGCUGUCUCUGCAGUCCAGUGCAGGCCGUCACUCUCUACCUGAAACUGUUCCUCUGGCAGGAGGGGGAUGAAGGAAUAAUUUUCCUCUGUGUAAUUGUUCAAUUCAUCUAAAAAUAUUUUUUCUCCUUCUGGGAGAGAUUGAGGGAUAUUGAUCAGGGGGAUCCACAGUUGGGCCUCUGGCAGUCUCUCUUGUGCCACCUGACUCAAUGUGGCACACUCUCUCAUCGCUGAGAUGCGUAAUCUUUGUGUGCGGUUAUUCAGGCCGAAUGCCAAGACUAUUUUUUCUACUUUUGUGUCUACUGUGGCUUUUUCUAUCAGAUUGGCAGCGUGCUGCAAUUUAGCCCCUGGAAAACUGUCAAUCUGUAAAUCAGGAAUGUCAAAAGCGGGAAUCCUGCUCAAAUUGGAGUCCCCGAUGACCACGUGUUUCUCUUUGAGUGCCAGUUUCCACUCAUUGAACUUCUUGUUAGUUCUAAGAGAUAAUUUUUUCCAUUUUUUUGGAAGUUUCCCCCCUCUCUGUCUCCUGAGGAGCCCCUGGUUGAAGAGAUGUCACAGAAUAUUCUGAGAAAUCAAAGUCUGAGAGAUUUGGUGACCCUGACGGAUUUUGGAAGAUCUGGGCACUCUCAGCUGUGUCCAUUAGAGGAUUUACUCUAUGUACUGCACUGGCUACAAUGGAGACCAGAGAAGGCAGGCCUGUGGUUAUCGGGGCCUCAGCCUCAGAGGGGGCAAAAGGAGAGAAAAGUUCCUGUGACAGCUGACCCAUAAACUCAUCUAAAUC